rnacentral:misc_RNA from 1 species
GAGGUGACAAUACUAGCAGUCAGCAAACUAAGCUGAUGCGUCACUUCAUUACCAUUUUCUUGCCGCUGAACUUCAGUUUGCUGACUGCUAGUAUUGUCACCUCCCAACACUACCUGGCCACCAUUGGAUGGAGGGUCAUUAGCUGGUUGACUCUCUUGCACUCCAGAAUGAUUGGACUGCCUUUCAGCAUGACCACUGGCCGGAGUGAGACUGCGCAACUGAGACAGGAACAUUUCCUCUACUGCUUGCGCAAUUACAGCACCUUGGGUACUUGCUUGCAGCCUACCAUCAUCAGUCCACCGACCAUCCCCUG